UACGUAGGGUGCAAGCGUUGUCCGGAAUUAUUGGGCGUAAAGAGCUCGUAGGCGGUCUGUUGCGUCGGCUGUGAAAACCCGGGGCUCAACCCCGGGCCUGCAGCCGAUACGGGCAGACUAGAGUUCGGCAGGGGAGACUGGAAUUCCUGGUGUAGCGGUGAAAUGCGCAGAUAUCAGGAGGAACACCGGUGGCGAAGGCGGGUCUCUGGGCCGAUACUGACGCUGAGGUACGAAAGCGUGGGGAGCAAACAGG
rnacentral:rRNA from 1 species